rnacentral:ncRNA from 1 species
CAAAAGCUUUAUUCUGGCUUAAAAAUUAGGUUAAUUUUUGCUUUACAUGUAAAUUUUAAUUUGAAAUUUUUAAUUUUUUUAAAAAAAAUUAAUUUUUUAUUAAUUCGCAGUGAAUUUUAUUAAACAAUCAAUGAGAGUUGGAUUUAGAAAUAAGUUUAAGUGUUGGCUAAGUUUGUGCCAGCAGCCGCGGUUAUACAAACAACACAACUUGUUUUUUUUUAGAUACAGUUAAUUUUAUAAUAAAUUUUAAUUUAAUAUUUAUUAGGUGAAAUUUUUAAUUUUUAAUAAAAAUUGUUUUUAUUAAUGAAGCUGGAAAAUUUUAUUUUUAAACUAGGAUUAGAUACCCUAUUAUUUAAAAUGUGAAUUUUUAUUCUAGAAUAUUAAUAGUUAUUUUCUUUAAAAUCAAAGAUUUUGGCGGUAUUUUAGUCUACUCAGAGGAACCUGUCCUUUAAUCGAUAAUCCACGAUUAGCUUUACUUUUUCUAAAAAUUUACAUAUCGUCGUAGUUUGAAUAUUUUAAUAGAAUAUUAAUGUUCAAAAUUUUUAUUAAAAAGAAAAUCAGAUCAAGGUGUAGUUAAUAAAAAAGAUAGAGAUGGGUUACAUUAGGUUUACUUUUUGAUUAUCAAUUUAAAAUUUGUAUGAAUUUGGAUUUGAAAGUAAUUUUAAUUAUAUAAUUAAAAUGAUUUAAGCUCUAAAAUAUGCACAUAUCGCCCGUCGCUUUCACUUUAAAGUGAAAUAAGUCGUAACAAAGUAGGCUUACUGGAAAGUGAGCCUAGUAAGAC